rnacentral:rRNA from 1 species
AUGCCCCCUGGGCGAAAGGAAAGGGGCCGCCAUUCUCUUUCUUUCCUCAAUCGUUCUGAUCAUUUCUCUCAUUCCCUUUUGUUUGUUUUUUUGGGUUGGUUCGUUUCCUCCUCCUAUCUACGCAAUUCUCUGUCUUCGUUCGUGAUCAUCUUAGGCGAAAGGAUAGGUAUAAAUUUUGUGGAGGGGCAGCUGUGA